AGAACGAACGCUGGCGGCAUGCCUAACACAUGCAAGUCGAACGAGACCUUCGGGUCUAGUGGCGCACGGGUGCGUAACGCGUGGGAAUCUGCCCUUGGGUUCGGGAUAACAGUUGGAAACGACUGCUAAUACCGGAUGAUGACUUCGGUCCAAAGAUUUAUCGCCCAGGGAUGAGCCCGCGUCGGAUUAGCUAGUUGGUGGGUAAAGGCCUACCAAGGCGACGAUCCGUAGCUGGUCUGAGAGGAUGAUCAGCCGCACUGGGACUGAGACACGGCCAGACUCCGUACGGGAGGCAGCGAGGUGGGGAAUAUUGGACAAGUGGGACGAAAGCCUGAUCCAGACAAUGCCGGCGUGAGUGAUGGAAGGUCCGUUAGGGUUAGUAAAGCUUCGUUUUACCGGAUGAUAAUGACAGUACCGGAGAACUAACGGCCCGUACUAACGUCCGUCGCCAGCACGCCGUACGGUAAC
rnacentral:rRNA from 1 species